rnacentral:lncRNA from 1 species
UCAAAUCUCGACUUAAAAAGUGAUUUUUAAUUUCUUACUGAGAAUUAGCCAAAACAAAUGUGUUCUCUUGAGCUUAAUAGCAUCAAUCAUCUUUUGAACUCAUUCAGGGGUCAUUAUUGUUUUUAACAUAAUAGUGAAUGAAGCGGAUAAUUUACUAUCUUUCUAUCAAAAAAAAUUUUAUGUAUAAAGAAUCAUAGAGAUGGAUAGGAUUAAAUAAACCAAAAUAAAAGAGUGAAAUUAUGAGUUUAUCCUUUUAAAUCUCUAAUUAGGAAAUAUAUCUCCC